CUUUGACCAGUCGAACCUUUGACUUUGAAUAAAUAAUAUUGACUUUUGACUAGUAUGAAAUGAGACGUAAGAAUCUUACCUCCUUAAAAGAAUUUCGUCCUGGAAAUUCUAUCAACUAGAAUUCGAACAUAUAAAGGUAUAGAGCACACAUAACGAAUAAUUUUUUCUAGCAACCUAGACAUAACUUCAUUCUUUCAUAUCUAGGCAUCUUAUCUAGCUAAGCUCUCUUUAACUUCACUAGCAAUCUUAAAGCAUAAACUAAAUCUGAUAUCUACUUACUAAGCCUUAGAAAUAGACCAUACAUUAUUAAAUAUCAGAUAACCUCAUUGUAAACUUCAUCAUUAAACAAUUUGACCCAAGUUCCAAAUAAUAUCUCAAAGAUCAAUAUGUGAAAUUCUCAACUUUUCAUUUUAUCAUAUCUUAGAAGAAUUCAACUAUUUCCCAAUUUGAAGUCCAAGAUACUAUUUUUGUACUCUUCAAAACUUCAUCUUAUGUCAUGAUUUGAACUAUUUUCUAGUCAACUCCCUUUUAUAUAACAAUUGUUAUAUACUAAGACCGAAUAACAUUCUUUCGCCAAUGUCAUCACAAUAAAUGUCCUUAGAAUAUUUCACCCUCUAAGUAUAACCUUACAUAACAUCACUUGUAUCUAGUUCUAAUAUAUCAUCUCCAUGAAAAUAACUAAUUACCCAAGUUCCCUUUAAUUAACAAACUGUAGUUGAUAACCUGUCUUCUGAACUUAUCCUCAUAGUGUCUAACAUUCCAAGAAGCUACACAAUGUAAUUUAGUCAUGUAACUCCCUAAGUCAAAGAUAAAUACUCAAACUCCAUAUAAACAGAAAUCUUAUCUAAAUAUGAUUUAAUAAUUCUAUCUCAUGAACUGACUAUAUCAUUUGAAAAGAAUUCUUGUAACUUCUAUCGAUCUAUCAACAAUGAUUCAAAUAUCAUUUUGUCCCCAUUCUGUAUAUUUGGAACCCCAAAUCGAAAAAUGUUUGUGGGCAGCUACUCCAAUUCUAAAUUAACAUUAUUUGGAAAAAUUUCAAUUAUUCAUGGUUUUCUAAAACUCUAGUUAUCCCCAACAACAAUUGAGAUAGCUCAGUAUGAUGUUCAUUUUCUUUUAAUUCUAUAUCAACCAAUGAUAAUAUAUGCACAACUUCAAUUUCAACCCUUUCAAAUUGAAAUAUACCUUAAACUACGGUGAUAUAUAAGUAUCAAUGUUUCUAGCAAGAAUAUAACACCACAAAUUCUAACUCCAACCCCAAUAUAACCAACAAUAAAACAUGUCUUAGUCAUACCUCUUUAACAAUCUAUAAUACUAUCCAUAAUUCAUCAUUUACUUCAGCAUACUUUCUAAACCUUAAUAUAAUUCAUUAUCAUAAAUCAGGCCCUCAUCAACUUUAGAUAUGAGAGCACAUAUUUCAUCAUAAUGUAAUCUAAUAGCAAAGCUUUUGACAUUUCUAAACCCACAAGAUUUUGGUGCUCUUUCUUUCUAUGAAAAUACAAUAAUAACAUUU
rnacentral:lncRNA from 1 species